AUCUCUGACUCCAGCAUCGGCAAUUCUUAUUAUGUCUGAGUAAUCAAGAUGAAGCGUCAGCCAGAUAAAGGAGAACAAAAGGAUUGGAGGUGUGCUAUACAUUGGUCUGAGAUGGCUUCUGUUCCGUCGCAAUGUAGCACAAUAAUCAGC